CCUACGGGAGGCAGCAGUAGGGAAUCUUUCACAAUGGGCGAAAGCCUGAUGGAGCAACGCCGCGUGCAGGAUGAAGGCCCUCGGGUUGUAAACUGCUUUUAUAAGCGAGAAAUAUGAUGGUAACUUAUGAAUAAGGACCGGCUAACUACGUGCCAGCAGCCGCGGUCAUACGUAGGAGCCGAGCAUUAUCCGGAGUGACUGGGUGUAAAGAGUUGCGUAGGUGGCAUAAUAAGUAGCUAGUGAAAUCUGGUGGCUCAACCAUUCAGACUAUUAGCUAAACUGUUAAGCUCGAGACCGGUAGGGGUAACUGGAAUUUCUAGUGUAGGAGUGAAAUCCGUAGAUAUUAGGAGGAACACCAAUAGCGUAGGCAGGUUGCUGGGACGGUUCUGACACUAAGGCACGAAAGCGUAGGGAGCAAACGGGAUUAGAUACCCCAGUAGUC
rnacentral:rRNA from 1 species